rnacentral:lncRNA from 1 species
UUUUUUUUUUUUUAAGACAGGGUCUCAUUCUGUCACUGAGGCUGGAGUGCAGUGGCACAAUCUCCAUUCACUGCAUCCUCAACCUCCUGGGCUCAAGCAGUCCUCCCACCACAGCCUCCCAAGUACCUGGGACUACAGGUGCAUGCCACCACACCUGGUUAGUUUUUUGUAGAGAUAGGGGUUUCACCAUGUUGCCCAUGCUAGUCUUGAACUCCUGGGCUCAAGCGAUCCACCCGCCUCAGCCUCCCAAAGUCCUGGGAUGACAGGCGUAAGCCACUGCAUGCAGCUGCAUCCACAAAUUUUGAUAUGCUGUAUUUUCAUUUUGCUAUUUGCUUUUUAAAAAUUCCCUUUAAGACUUCUUCUUGUCCACAUUUUAUAUAAAUGUUUACUGCUUCAUUUCCAAGUGUUUGCAGAUUUUCCUGUUGUCUUUCUGCAAUUUAUUUCUAGUUUGAUUCCACUGUGGUCAGAGGGCAUACUUCGUAUGAUUUCAGUUUCUAAAAAUUUGUUAAGGUUUGUUUUAAGAUCUAGGAACCUCACCCAAGCUUUGGUGUCCAGAGUGUUUCCUGGAGCUGCACUGUGCAGCCAUAAUUGACUGAUCUGUUGCAGACUGGUUGGAACUCUGUGGUCACCGCUCCCUUUCCCGGAAUCUGGGGCUGACAGCACAUUCCUGGGAGGGCCCACCAUGGGCCAGCUGGUGGCAGAAACUUCAGUAUGGUCUGAGGGGCCCACCAUGAAUAACAGAGACCCUCCUGUCACAUGGCUUCAGGACUACUUACCAGGAGCCAGGACAAAGGCUAGACCUCUCUUUGGGCUAGGCCGAAUUCUUUACCACACAGAAAUUACAUUUAGGACUCAAAUGUGCCAUUUGUAUUUGCUUUCUGCGUGUUUCUUAUGUUUCCUUUAACCUGUUUCGUUUCACUUGUCAUGGAUUAGUUGAACCGUUUUUAGCAUUUCAUUUUGAAUUAUUUAUACUUUUGGGUGCAUUGCUUUGUAUCGUUUUCUAAGUGGCUGCUCUAGGAUUGAUUAUAAUACACACAUGUAACUUAUCACAGCCUGCUGCCAUCAGUGUUUCACCACUUCAUGAGAAAUAUCAAAAAGCUUUCUUUUAUUUACCUCCCCUUUGCCUCCCCCACUUAAACAUGUAAUUAUCAUAAAUAUUUCCUCUUCAGAUGUAGAGCGCCACAGCAGAUGAUGUUAUUAUUUUUUGCUUCAACCAUAAAAUAAAAUUUAAGAAACUCAUCGUAGUCAAUUAUAUUUAUCAUAUGAUUACCCCUUCUGUUGUUGCUAUUUCUGAUUUCCUUAUUUCCUUUUUGUUAGGAGAGCUUCCUUUAGCCAUUUAUUAAGGGUAGGUUUUCUGGUAACAAAUUAUCCUAGUUGUCCUUCCUCUUAGAAUAUCUUUAUUUUCCCCUCAUCCCUGAAGGAUAUGUUCACUGAAUAGGGUUCUGGGCAGACAGUUUUUCUCAGCACGUGGCGAUCGUGUGCCACCCCUCUGCCUUGUGGUUUUAGAGAAGCCCACCAUCCUCAGAACCAGUGUCCCUUAAUGCAUCGUUUUUCUCUGGUGGUUCAAAAGAUUUUUUUCUUUGUUUUUCCUUUCCUGAAGUCCGUUAUGAUGUGUUUAUCCUAUUUGGGGUUUGCUCAGAUUCUUGAAUCUGCAGGUUUAUUUCUUUCACCGAAUUUGGGAAGUCUUCAACCAUUGUGCCUUUGAAUACUUUUUCACUACACAUUCCUUCCUCUCCUCCUGGGACUCUGGUGACAGGAACGCUGGGCCUUUUGUCACUGCCCGCCCGUCCGCAAGGAGAUGUUUAUUUCUGAGUCUCCUAUCUCUCCAUCGUUCCUAUGGGUCAGCUCUAUUAAUCGUCCUUGAAUCAACAGACUCUGUUCUCUGUCAUCCC